rnacentral:rRNA from 1 species
AACGAACGCUGGCGGCAGGCCUAACACAUGCAAGUCGAACGCAUCGCAAGAUGAGUGGCGCACGGGUGAGUAACACGUGGGAAUGUACCCUUUGGUUCGGAAUAACGUUUGGAAACGAACGCUAAUACCGGAUGAGCCCUACGGGGGAAAGAUUUAUCGCCAAAGGAGCAGCCCGGGUCUGAUUAGCUAGUUGGUGGGGUGAAGUCCUACCAAGGCGACGAUCAGUAGCUGGUCUGAGAGGAUGAUCAGCCACACUGGGACUGAGACACGGCCCAGACUCCUACGAGAGGAAGCACGAGGGAAUAUUGGACAAUGGGCGCAAGCCUGAUCCGGCCAUGCCGCGUGAGUGAUGAAGGCCUUCGGGUUGUAAAGCUCUUUCGCACACGGCGAUGAUGACGGUAGUGUGAGAAGAAGCCCCGGCUAACUUCGUGCCAGCCGCCGCGGUAAGAC